GAUGAACGCUGACAGAAUGCUUAACACAUGCAAGUCAACUUGAACUUCGGUUUGGAUGGCGGACGGGUGAGUAACGCGUAAAGAACUUGCCUCACAGAUAGGGACAACAUUUGGAAACGAAUGCUAAUACCUGAUAUUAUGAUUUUAGGGCAUCCUAGGAUUAUGAAAGCUAUAUGCGCUGUGAGAGAGCUUUGCGUCCCAUUAGCUAGUUGGAGAGGUAACGGCUCACCAAGGCGAUGAUGGGUAGCCGGCCUGAGAGGGUGAUCGGCCACAAGGGGACUGAGACACGGCCCUUACUCCUACGGGAGGCAGCAGUGGGGAAUAUUGGACAAUGGACCAAGAGUCUGAUCCAGCAAUUCUGUGUGCACGAUGAAGUUUUUCGGAAUGUAAAGUGCUUUCAGUUGGGAAGAAAAAAAUGACGGUACCAACAGAAGAAGUGACGGCUAAAUACGUGCCAGCAGCCGCGGUAAUACGUAUGUCACAAGCGUUAUCCGGAUUUAUUGGGCGUAAAGCGCGUCUAGGUGGUUAUAUAAGUCUGAUGUGAAAAUGCAGGGCUCAACUCUGUAUUGCGUUGGAAACUGCAUGACUAGAGUACUGGAGAGGUAAGCGGAACUACAAGUGUAGAGGUGAAAUUCGUAGAUAUUUGUAGGAAUGCCGAUGGGGAAGCCAGCUUACUGGACAGAUACUGACGCUAAAGCGCGAAAGCGUGGGUAGCAAACAGG
rnacentral:rRNA from 1 species